CCUACGGGUGGCAGCAGUGAGGAAUAUUGGUCAAUGGACGAGAGUCUGAACCAGCCAAGUAGCGUGAAGGAUGACUGCCCUAUGGGUUGUAAACUUCUUUUAUAUGGGAAUAAAAUGUUCCACGUGUGGGAUUUUGUAUGUACCUUAUGAAUAGGGAUCGGCUAACUCCGUGCCAGCAGCCGCGGUAAUACGGAGGAUCCGAGCGUUACCCGGUUUUAUUGGGUUUAAAGGGAGCGUAGGUGGGUUGUUAAGUCAGUUGUGAAAGUUUGCGGGUCAACCGUAAAAUUGCAGUUGAAACUGGCAGUCUUGAGAGCAGGAGAGGGGGGUGGAAUUCGAGGUGUAGCGGUGAAAUGCUUAGAUAUAACGAAGAACUCCGAUUGCGAAGGCAGCUCACUGGACUGCAACUGACACUGAGGCUCGAAAGUGUGGGUAGCAAACAGGAUUAGAUACCCUAGUAGUC
rnacentral:rRNA from 1 species